rnacentral:lncRNA from 1 species
UUUGCUUUGAUUUAAUUAAGAUUUAAUAUAAAUUAUGAGGGUUAAUUUUGAAGGAAAGGAAACAGUUUCUCUCCAGAAUGCUCAGGUUGCAUCUAAAAUUUUUUUCUAAUAUUCUACUUAUUUAGGGAUCAAAUCCUUACCUGAAUUAUAGCAAAACUAAAGAUCAAAUCUUAAAUUAUCUGAUAUAAACCUUCAUGAAGGCCUGGAUAUACAAACCAUCUACUUCACA